rnacentral:rRNA from 1 species
AACUCAAAGGAAUUGACGGGGACCCGCACAAGCGGUGGAGCAUGUGGUUUAAUUCGAUGCAACGCGAAAAACCUUACCACUCCUUGACAUGGAGAUUAGAUCCUUCUUAACGGAAGGGCGCAGUUCGGCUGGAUCUCGCACAGGUGCUGCAUGGCUGUCGUCAGCUCGUGUCGUGAGAUGUUGGGUUAAGUCCCGCAACGAGCGUAACCCUCAUCCUUAGUUGCCAGCGGGUAAGCCGGGCACUUUAAGGAAACUGCCGGUGGUAAACCGGAGGAAGGUGGGGAUGAUGUCAAGUCAGCACGGCCCUUAUGGGGUGGGCUACACACGUGCUACAAUGGUGACUACAAUAGGUUGCAAUGUCGCAAGGCUGAGCUAAUCCGUAAAAGUCAUCUCAGUUCGGAUUGUCCUCUGCAACUCGAGGGCAUGAAGUCGGAAUCGCUAGUAAUCGUGGAUCAGCAUGCCACGGUGAAUACGUUCUCGGGUCUUGUACACACUGCCCGUCACGCCAUGGGAAUUGGCUUAACUCGAAGCUGGUGCGC